AGGACGAACGCUGGCGGCGCGCUUAACACAUGCAAGUCGAGCGGAAAGGCCCUUCGGGGUACUCGAGCGGCGAACGGGUGAGUAACACGUGAGUAAUCUGCCCCUAGCUCUGGGAUAGCUCCGGGAAACCGGGAUUAAUACCGGAAUACGACCACUUUAGACAUCUUUUGUGGUGGAAAGAAUUUCGGCUAGGGAUGAGCUCGCGGCCUAUCAGCUUGUUGGUGGGUAACGGCCUACCAAGGCGACGACGGGUA
rnacentral:rRNA from 1 species